UAACGCGUAAAGAACUUGCCUCACAGCUAGGGACAACAUUUAGAAAUGAAUGCUAAUACCUGAUAUUAUGAUUUUAAGGCAUCUUAGAAUUAUGAAAGCUAUAAGCACUGUGAGAGAGCUUUGCGUCCAAUUAGCUAGUUGGAGAGGUAACAGCUCACCAAGGCGAUGAUGGGUAGCCGGCCUGAGAGGGUGAACGGCCACAAGGGGACUGAGACACGGCCCUU
rnacentral:rRNA from 1 species